GAAAGAUGCGGGGCGUAUGAAGAUUUCUAAUCUUUUUUAUAGGCAGUUCGACUCUGUUUAUCUUUUU
rnacentral:tRNA from 1 species